ensembl:snoRNA
UGUCUUGUUUUGUCUAAUUGUAGAUUGACUUAUAGAAAGGUACAAAAAAUAAAUCCUCUUUUGCAACCCCAAAUUCAUUGUUUAGCAUGAGCUUUGAUACAUAUAAGAUGGAAUAUU